CCUACGGGAGGCAGCAGUGAGGAAUAUUGGUCAAUGGACGAGAGUCUGAACCAGCCAAGUAGCGUGAAGGAUGACUGCCCUAUGGGUUGUAAACUUCUUUUAUAUGGGAAUAAAAUGUUCCACGUGUGGGAUUUUGUAUGUACCAUAUGAAUAAGGAUCGGCUAACUCCGUGCCAGCAGCCGCGGUAAUACGGAGGAUCCGAGCGUUAUCCGGAAUUAUUGGGUUUAAAGGGAGCGUAAGUGGAUUGUUAAGUCAGUUGUGAAAGUUUUGGGCUCAACCGUAAAAUUGCAGUUGAAACUGGCAGUCUUGAGAACAGUAGAGGUAGGCGGAAUUCGUGGUGUAGCGGUGAAAUGCUUAGAUAUCACGAAGAACUCCGAUUGCGAAGGCAGUUCACUGGACUGCAACUGACACUGAGGCUCGAAAGUGUGGGUAUCAAACAGGAUUAGAUACCCGAGUAGUC
rnacentral:rRNA from 1 species